UACGUAGGGCGCAAGCGUUGUCCGGAAUUAUUGGGCGUAAAGAGCUCGUAGGCGGCUUGUCACGUCGGAUGUGAAAGCCCGGGGCUUAACUCCGGGUCUGCAUUCGAUACGGGCUGGCUAGAGUGUGGUAGGGGAGAUCGGAAUUCCUGGUGUAGCGGUGAAAUGCGCAGAUAUCAGGAGGAACACCGGUGGCGAAGGCGGAUCUCUGGGCCAUUACUGACGCUGAGGAGCGAAAGCGUGGGGAGCGGACAGG
rnacentral:rRNA from 1 species